CAGACUUGACAUAUGACAC
rnacentral:siRNA from 1 species